ACGAGUGGCGGACGGGUGAGUAAUGCUUGGGAACUUGCCUUUGCGAGGGGGAUAACAGUUGGAAACGACUGCUAAUACCGCAUAAUGUCUUCGGACCAAACGGGGCUUCGGCUCCGGCGCAAAGAGAGGCCCAAGUGAGAUUAGCUAGUUGGUAAGGUAACGGCUUACCAAGGCGACGAUCUCUAGCUGUUCUGAGAGGAAGAUCAGCCACACUGGGACUGAGACACGGCCCAGACUCCUACGGGAGGCAGCAGUGGGGAAUAUUGCACAAUGGGGGAAACCCUGAUGCAGCCAUGCCGCGUGUGUGAAGAAGGCCUUCGGGUUGUAAAGCACUUUCAGUUGUGAGGAAAAGUUAGUAGUUAAUACCUGCUAGCCGUGACGUUAACAACAGAAGAAGCACCGGCUAACUCCGUGCCAGCAGCCGCGGUAAUACGGAGGGUGCGAGCGUUAAUCGGAAUUACUGGGCGUAAAGCGCACGCAGGCGGUUUGUUAAGCUAGAUG
rnacentral:rRNA from 1 species